rnacentral:tRNA from 4 species
GGAGGGGUGGGAGAGUGGUUAAAUCCAGCAGACUGUAAAUCUGCCCGCGCAAGCGUACGCUGGUUCGAAUCCAGCCCCCUCCACCA